AAAAAGGCAAACAUUAGAUUUUCGUGUCCGUCUUAUAUGAAAUUUUUUUAUAAUUAGUAUUUUUAUUGUUGUUAGAUGAUAAAACAUGAUUAAUAAUGACUUAUCUUUUUAAUUUUUUUUGUAAUUUUUUCAAAUAAGACGGACGGUUGGACGGAGGGAGUAGUACCAAAA
rnacentral:pre_miRNA from 1 species